rnacentral:rRNA from 1 species
UACGUAGGGGGCGAGCGUUGUCCGGAUUCAUUGGGCGUAAAGAGCUCGUAGGCGGCUUGGCAAGUCGGAUGUGAAAACUCCAGGCUCAACCUGGAGCCGCCAUUCGAUACUGCUAUGGCUAGAGUCCGGUAGGGGAGUGUGGAAUUCCCGGUGUAGCGGUGAAAUGCGCAGAUAUCGGGAGGAACACCGAUGGCGAAGGCAGCACUCUGGGCCGGUGCUGACGCUGAGACGCGAAAGCGUGGGGAGCAAACAGG